CCUACGGGUGACAGCAGUGAGGAAUAUUGGUCAAUGGGCGAGAGCCUGAACCAGCCACGUCGCGUGAGGGAGUACUGCCCUAGGGGUUGUAAACCUCUUUUGUCGGGGAGCAAAAGCCGGACGUGUCCGGCUGGGAGAGUACCCGAAGAAAAAGCAUCGGCAAACUCCGUGCCAGCAGCAGCGGUAAUACGGAGGAUGCGAGCGUUAUCCGGAUUUAUGGGGGUUAAGGGGUGCGCAGGCGGAUUUUAAAGUCAGCGGUAAAAUCGCGGGGCUCAACCCCAUCCAGCCGUUGAAACUGGGGAUCUAGAGUGCGCGAGAGGUAUGCGGAAUGCGUGGUGUAGCGGUGAAAUGCAUAGAUAUCACGCAGAACCCCGAUGGCGAAGGCAGCAUACCGGUGCACAACUGACGCUCAGGCACGAAAGCGUGGGUAGCGAACAGGAUUAGAUACCCGGGUAGUC
rnacentral:rRNA from 1 species